rnacentral:rRNA from 1 species
CAGCAGCCGCGGUAAUACGUAGGGUGCAAGCGUUAAUCGGAAUUACUGGGCGUAAAGCGUGCGCAGGCGGUUAUAUAAGACAGAUGUGAAAUCCCCGGGCUCAACCUGGGAACUGCAUUUGUGACUGUAUAGCUAGAGUACGGCAGAGGGGGAUGGAAUUCCGCGUGUAGCAGUGAAAUGCGUAGAUAUGCGGAGGAACACCGAUGGCGAAGGCAAUCCCCUGGGCCUGUACUGACGCUCAUGCACGAAAGCGUAAGGAGCAAACAGGAUUAGAUACCCCUGUAGUCCCUGUCUCUUAUAC